rnacentral:lncRNA from 1 species
CCGUGAUUUCUAUUUACGCCUCUGGUAUAUACUGAUAUAGAUCCAAAUAUUGAUCUUUGUUAUAUUCAGAGGAAGCCCAAAUUAUUAUUACAAGUGUACUUGGAGGAGCGUGAAUUAGACACCAGACACCUGUUGGUAUUCAAAAUAAGCCUCUAACCUUUGUCAGUUGUGUUUUUAUACAUUAAAAAGUAAGUGCUUACGUGAAAAUUGGACAGUAGUAGGAAGGGAGUGAAAGGAGUACAGAUAAGACAUAGGGAUGAAGGCCAUGUACAUAUAACAAAUAAGUUCAGAGGAAGAGAAAGAACAGAUCUUUAAAAACCCACUUCUUCAUAAAUGCGUAUCAAUUAAACUGUUAAUAGCUCCUGACUGAUUCCUCUUCUGCAACUGUCACUAGUCUAAUACUAUGCUUACUUUUUUGUGUCAUUUUACCCCACUCCCUCUAGCAUGUAAGCUCAUUGAGCAGGGCCCUCAACCCCUCUGUUCCUGUGUGUCCAACUUGUCUGGUUACACUACAUGUCUGUACGUCCACCCAUUGUAAAGCGCUGCGGAAUUUGACGGCGCUCUCUAAAUAUCAUAAUAAUAAUAAUGAUUUGAGAAGAGACAGCUCAGGUGGGGGCUAUCUGCUCCCGGAACCAGAAAUAUAUGGUCUUAAGUGUCGUUUUAAGCAUUAAGCAUUUCUUGAGUCCACGUUAGACAAUUUUAAUAUAGGCUAUCAUAAUAUGACACCUAUAAGCUUGAGCCUUGGAAUCAAGAUAAAUUCUAUCACAAUCCCCUCUUUUGAUUCAAGGGUCACCCAAAUGUCCAAGGUAUUUCCAGGCCUGCUAGCCAAAGCCUGUGGGACUUUCAUUUAUUUCUUCACCACGGUUCCCUUGGACUGAGAGACCACCAGAAUCAGCGGAAGAGAUUUCCUUCAUUUGUUAGGUGAGGUAACAUCAUAAAAACCUUCCGAAGUCAGAGCUGGAAUGUAAGUUAAGGUACAACCAACAGUAGGUUUAUUUUUACAUAGAGAGGUUAGUAGACAUGAGAAAAAUCUAAAGGUUAGAAAAAUGGCCAUAAUAACAAAUACAGCUAAUAGCAAAAAGUACAAAAUUUUCUUAAUUAGUAAAGUCAACCAUGUUCCUAGCCCAAAUGUCCAAUCCCAAUCCCCAAGGAAGCCAGUAUCCUGUUUGAUAUCUUGCACUAAGUCAUGUAAAUCUUUUAUAUGUUUAUGGAUCAUAGUGCCAUGGUCAGAUAGGUUAAAACAGCACAAACCUAGAGGAUUGCCUUCUUAUUUGCCUGGAUGUCCAUAAGUAGCUCUUCUAGGGCCUAGGAAGUGGAAUUUAAACCAUUUGCAAGGGAACAGGCUACAGCAUUAAUUACUCUGGUAUUAUACAGUGCUAAGCCUGGGACUCCUACCAUAGAGUACGCAAGGGCAGAGUAUUUGGAUUUAGAUAAGAGAGUUAUUUCAGGGUUACAAUCUGAAGUAAGGGAGUUUUUAGCGCUCCUACAUCUUAUCUCUACAUCUCUCCUGUCUCUCUGCGGUUUGUGUAGCUGGGUGGUUUCAGGGAUCAGGUCAGAUUUGGAAAACAUGGUCAUGGUUAGGCGUGAGAUUGCACAGGGACCUCCUGUAAUGUUACCUGGGACAUAAGUGUGGCAAAACUAACCUCGCCACUGGGUCCUGGAGAAGCCUGUGUUACAAAAUGCCUUUUGUCCCUAUUUUCUCUUAUGACAAAUUGCCCUGCUUCCCUGGGUUAUGGAGAAGCCUGAUUGCCAGUCUCCUGCCUCAUGACUAUGGCCCCCUCUCAUCAGCCCAUGCUAAACUUAAACCCCAUGGCGAUUUGACUGUGUUUGUGGGAUCUGAGCGCUGUUUGGAUAUAUAUAGCGCUCAGAUCCAAGCCAUCUGGGGAUAGGUUGAAUGUGGGGGUUCUGUUCAGUAUGAUAGGAAUUAUGUAUUUUUGCUGUUGUUGUGAAUAGAGAUAUUUUCUGUACCUGGAGAUAGUUGGCUUACC